AUGUCCCUGUGUCCUUUGUCCCUGUGUCCCUGUGUCCCUUGUCCCUGUGUCCCUUGUCCCUGUGUCCCUGUGUCCCUGUGUGUCCCUGUGUCCCUGUGUCCUUUGUCCCUCUGUCCCUGUGUCCCUUGUAAACACUUGGGAGAGGGGAAAAGAGUCGAAAACCAUUGUGGGAAAACGUAUUUAAAUGUAUUUGUGUUUUGUGAGCGGCCAAAGUCGUCGUCCCUCGCCCGCCAUUCAUCUCCUCCUCUGCCUCAGCUGGGGAACACUUUGUAUCUCGUUUUAUCAGCACUAAUAGAAACACUGUGUCCCUUGUCCCUGUGUCCCUGUGUCCUUUGUCCUGUGUCCCUCUGUCCCUGUGUCCCUUGUCCCUGUGUCCCCGUGUCCCCGUGUCCCCUGUCCCUUGUCCCUGUGUCCCCCAUGUCCUUGUAUCCCCCAUGUCCCCCAUGAUGUCCCUCAUGUCCCAUGUCCCCCAUGUCCCACCCCAGGGCCAGCAGCAGCUUUCUCCCUCCCCGGCAGCCCCAGCAGUGCUUUCUGUGAUUUCCCCUCCCUGGCCCCGGAGCUGUUGUGCUGUGGCAGCUCAGAGGGGUCAGAAUUCCUUCUCCAAGCCUGGCUUUGGAUUCAGGGAAUUGUUUGUGGUGCUGCACGACCCCUGCCUGCCCACACUGCCCAAAGAUCCUCAAAC
rnacentral:lncRNA from 12 species